rnacentral:rRNA from 1 species
CGGAUAGGGUUUUGGAUCGCAUGAUCCGAAACGGAAAGAUGGCGCAAGCUAUUACUUACAGAUGGGCCUGCGGCGCAUUAGCUAGUUGGUGGGGUAACGGCCUACCAAGGCGACGAUGCGUAGCCGACCUGAGAGGGUGACCGGCCACACUGGGACUGAGACACGGCCCAGACUCCUACGGGAGGCAGCAGUAGGGAAUUUUCCACAAUGGACGAAAGUCUGAUGGAGCAACGCCGCGUGAACGAUGAAGGCUCUCGGGUCGUAAAGUUCUGUUGUUAGGGACGAACAAGUGCCGUUCGAACAGGGCGGCACCUUGACGGUACCUAACGNNAAAGCCACGGCUAACUACGUGCCAGCAGCCGCGGUAAUACGUAGGUGGCAAGCGUUGUCCGGAAUUAUUGGGCGUAAAGCGCGCGCAGGCGGUUAUGUAAGUCUGAUGUUAAAGCCCGGGGCUCAACCUCGGUCCGCAUUGGAAACUGCGUAACUUGAGUGCAGAAGAGGAAAGUGGUAUUCCACGUGUAGCGGNGANNUGCGUAGAGAUGUGGAGGAACACCAGUGGCGAAGGCGACUUUCUGGUCUGUAACUGAC